rnacentral:rRNA from 1 species
CAGAACGAACGCUGGCGGCAGGCCUAACACAUGCAAGUCGAGCGAGGACUUCGGUCCUAGUGGCGGACGGGUGAGUAACGCGUGGGAACGUGCCCUUUGGUACGGAAUAGCCCCGGGAAACUGGGAGUAAUACCGUAUGGUGUCUUCGGACUAAAGAUUUAUCGCCAAAGGAUCGGCCCGCGUUGGAUUAGGUAGUUGGUGGGGUAAUGGCCUACCAAGCCGACGAUCCAUAGCUGGUUUGAGAGGAUGAUCAGCCACACUGGGACUGAGACACGGCCCAGACUCCUACGGGAGGCAGCAGUGGGGAAUCUUAGACAAUGGGGGCAACCCUGAUCUAGCCAUGCCGCGUGAGUGAUGAAGGCCCUAGGGUUGUAAAGCUCUUUCAGCUGGGAAGAUAAUGACGGUACCAGCAGAAGAAGCCCCGGCUAACUCCGUG